ACCGGGAUGGACGUACCGCUGGUGCACCAGUUGUUCCGCCAGGAGCAUGGCUGGGUAGCUACGUACGGACGGGAUAAGCGCUGAAAGCAUCUAAGCGUGAAGCCCCCCUCAAGAUGAGAUUUCCCAGUAUGUAAGACCCCUUGAAGACGACGAGGUAGAUAGGUUGGAGGUGGAAGCACGGCAACGUGUGGAGCUGACCAAUACUAAUCGGUCGAGGGCUUAUCCAAAAA
rnacentral:rRNA from 1 species